CUGCUUUGGCAGCACAUAUACAAAAAUUGGAACACUACAGAGAAAAUUAGCAUGGUCCCUGCAAAAUAAUUAAUUAAUUAGUUAAUGCUUUACCAGCUAUCU
rnacentral:snRNA from 1 species